AUUGAAAACACUUACACAAUUUUUCUGUUUAAUGUUGUAGUAGGAAAUAGUGUUUUGUGACCCAAUUUUUUCUCUUGUUAUUCUGAAAGCAGAUUUGAAAAGUGAGAGGCAAAAAAUAUCAAAGGGACAAUCAAUCUCAUAAAUUGAAAAGACUGACAAUGCCAUGGUUUCAAAAGAAAAAACAAAAACAUACGGACAUUAGUACACAUAACACAAACCAAAAAAACACUUAAGACUGAGCAACAUAAACCUCACCUAUAACUGGGAGUUAUCUCAGUCGCGCCGGACAGGGAAGCAAUUUCUGUUCCACAUUUUGCACCC
rnacentral:lncRNA from 1 species